rnacentral:rRNA from 1 species
GACAGAGGGUGCAAGCGUUGUUCGGACUUACUGGGCGUAAAGGGCGCGUAGGCGGUCCGCUAAGUUCGGCGUGAAAUCCCCUGGCUCAACUGGGGAACGGCGCUGGAUACUGGUGGACUCGAGUACCGGAGAGGAGAGUGGAAUUCCUGGUGUAGCGGUGAAAUGCGUAGAUAUCAGGAGGAACACCGGUGGCGAAGGCGGCUCUCUGGACGGAUACUGACGCUGAGGCGCGAAAGCGUGGGGAUCAAACGGG